UUAACCAAAUAUGUCUCUAAUGAUCUCUUUGUAAGAGACAAAACCACAGUAAGAUUAUUUAUCGUAAUGUCAUGAUGAGAAUUACAAGAAAUUGCCCCAACUCACGCUCGGCCAACAUCAAAUUGUAGGCUAUUAUUUCUGCUGUUGUGCUCAUGUGUAAAUUGAGGAUGGAACGAACAAGUGAUGAUAUUUGAUACCUUCUGGGGACAUGCAUUGACCUGUAUUUUAACUGUCUUUAUGGGGACACCUUGUUUAAGUGGGGAUUGCAUUAUUUCCAUGAAACCUUCUGGGGACAUUGACCUGUAUUUUAACUGUCUUUAUGGGGACACCUUGUUUAAGUGGGGAUUGCAUUAUAUGCAUAAUAUAAUUUGUGUAGAAUUCUCAAGACCUUUUAUAUUUGUCUGAUUACAGGUUGCCUUCCAAAUCAACAUGGACUAGGGUUAGGGUUCUUAACAUGAACGACACCGAAAUGGACCAACUUGCUGAUUUCCUGGGACAUGAUAUUCGUAUCCACAGGAAAUAUUACAGAUUACCCGAGGGAACACUAUUAACAGGGCACUUCAGGAGUGAAUAGCAGCAGGCCAGUAAACAUGAAUGAAGGAUCUCCAGAGAGGACACGGGAGGUCAUGAAAGUAACAUCAGUUCCUAGGAAGAGAAAGUGGAGUGAGGUGGAGAUUGCGGCUGUAGAAGAGACAAUGAUGAAAUGUAUUCACUCGGGAGUUACACCUGGAAAAGUCGACUACAUUGCAUGCAUUACAGAAGCCCCCAAAGCCCUCGGUGAACGAGACUGGCAGGCGGUGAAGUAUUAUAUAAAAAACAAUCACAGCAUAUGAGAGAAAGACCACUAAAAAGUAAGGUUGAUUUUGGUUGUUGAUUCCGUUUUUGCGUUUUAGUUGAAUUAUAAUAUUUUUUUUUUGGUCUCAAUACUAGGGCUGCACGAUAUUGGGGAAAAAGGACAUUGCGAUAUCUUAUUUUUCUGCGAUAUAUAUUGCGAUAUGAU